AGAUAAGAUUGGAUUCAAGGGCCGGCUGCUAACUGGCCCUUAAGCGGUUCGAUUCCGUUUUUUCUUU
rnacentral:tRNA from 1 species